GGUAAUGGCUCAGCUGUAGAGUACUUGCCUAGCAUGCAUAAAGCACUGGGUUCAAUCCCCAGCACCA
rnacentral:tRNA from 1 species